CAUAGACAUAUAUAUAGAUGUACAUGUACAUGUAUAUAUAUUUAUAUACUUACAAUUUUAUUGGUGAUGUUCUUGUUAAUAUUUUUCAUUGGGAUACGAGCUGGGUAUCACCAUAUAGACCUUGGUCCGAUAUUUCACUGUAAAGACCUCGCGCUCGGUUAAUAAGUUAUUAACUUUCAUCCGAUCUAGAUAUGAAGCUGUUGUUGGUUUGUUUGUGUGGAAUAGUUCUAUUGGUAAGUGACGUGGUGACGAACAUCAUGAUGAUUGUAUUUUAUAUUUUACCAGUCAGAAUACCUAGUAAACAACAAACUCAUUCAUCCAAGUCACCCAGUUUCAAACCUAUAAAUGUUCACCUCCGAACUCAAUCACGCAGUCGCUCGUCCAACUAACAAACUAACUCUAUAACUAACAAACUAACAAACUGAUGACGGAUUGGUUUCAUAGUUUUAACAGUUGUUUCUAACAUUGCAAUUUAGGCGUUUUGCAAAUCGCAAACUCUCGAAUUCGAAAAAACUGGUGAGGUAUGAUAUAAAAACAGUGUUG